rnacentral:rRNA from 1 species
GAUGAACGCUGGCGGCAUGCCUAAUACAUGCAAGUCGAGCGGAGCGGGGACGGGUGAGUAACACGUGGAUAACAUCCUAUAAGACUGGGAUCACCUCGGGAAAACGGAGCUAAACCGGAUAAUUAUAGAUGGAUCCGCGCUGCAUUAGCUAGUUGGUAAGGUAACGGCUUACCAAGGCAACGAUGCAUAGCCGACCUGAGAGGGUGAUCGGCCACACUGGAACGGAGACACGGUCCAGACUCCUACGGGAGGCAGCAGUAGGGAAUAUUCGGCAAUGGGCGAAAGCCUGACGGAGCAACGCCGCGUGAGUGAUGAAGGUCUUCGGAUCGUAAAACUCUUUUAGUAGGGAAGCGUUACCUAAUCAGAAAGCCACGGCUAACUACGUGCCAGCAGCCGCGGUAAUAC